GACGAACGCUGGCGGCGUGCCUAAUACAUGCAAGUCGAACGCAGUGGGGACGGGUGAGUAACACGUGGGUAACCUCCCAUCAGAGGGGAUAACACUUGGAAACAGGUGCUAAACCUAUACUGAUGGAUGGACCCGCGGUGCAUUAGCUAGUUGGUGAGGUAACGGCUCACCAAGGCUACGAUGCAUAGCCGACCUGAGAGGGUGAUCGGCCACACUGGGACUGCGACACGGCCCAGACUCCUACGGGAGGCAGCAGUAGGGAAUAUUCGGCAAUGGGCGAAAGUCUGAUCGAGCAACGCAGCGUGAGUGAAGAAGGUUUUCGGAUCGUAAAAGUCUGUUGGUAGAGAGGCGGUAUCUAACCAGAAAGCCACGGCUAACUACGUGCCAGCAGCCGCGGUAAUUC
rnacentral:rRNA from 1 species